GAAAACGGAAAAUAAAAACAGCAGACCUAUGAAGGUCGAAGGGGAAGAAAAGCUGUAUCGAUUGUUGAGAUCUGGCGACUUGUUUAAAUUUCAUCAGCCUCACUUCUAUGAACUCUCAGGGUCCUCGUAAGAACUUCCAUUUUAUGUUCUUGUCUUCUCAUCAGUUUGAGUUGUGUCUUUAACAUUGGAGAGAAAAACAACUUGCAAGAUUUUCUUUCAGUAUGAACCAUUCUGAGGUCCUUCAAUUCUUUAGCUGAUUACCAACUCCUACCACUGUUAACCCUCAUCCAGGAACAAGCUUAUGUCUUUAACAUUCUGAGUGGGCUUCAGCAUCCUUGCAUAUGUUCAAUUCUUAAAAACCUGUUGAAAUAAAAGAUCAGGAGACAUAGGAAGGAUGCCAGAAGAGAGCGUGGCCUCACGUGUACCAGCUCUCUGCUCUCCUUUGCCUUGGGACGUUCCAUCCCUGGAAGUUUCCCUGCCCACAUCUUUGUAGAGAGUCCAUUCUCCAAGCUUCAGUGUGUCAUCUGUGAGGACCGUGACCCACCUGGUACAUCGCCUCAGGGCAUUCAUUUCAGGCUCCUUCUAAAUGGCCAAGGUACAGUUGACUAAAUACCGUACUUCAUUUCUGGUAUGUUUGGAGAGACAUCUGUUUUUUGCAUUUGGUCUUUCACUCUUUGUUUUUCUCCGGGAGGAUUAUACUUUGUUUGUUCCUCUCAAACUUUACCCAACUGAGAGUGCUAUAGAGUGCUGUGAUUUAAAUAUCAACAGAUUUCUAGGGACAUAUGCACUCUCAGAAAUAUGUGCGUUCUCAGACCUGAGUACCCUGGUGUGGGCUUCGUGGUAUUUUAGGAAGCAUGAAUUGAGAUCUGAGGGCACUAGGUUUAUCUUGAAAGCAGAUGUAGGUAAAUUGUCUCGGCUCUGCUGUGAUCUCUAAGAUUAUGAAGGUAUCUGGAACUCAGGGGAAAAAACAUCUAUUUUAUCACAUCAUUGAAAGUAGUUUCUUACCAUUUAUUAAACAUUGGCUUAAAAUAAUGAUUUUGCCAUUUUUUUCCUGUCACAUUGCAAAUGCUUAUCUAUUGCUUUGACUAAGUUUGCAUGCCUGCAUUUCACCCUUGAAAAAGUAAAGUGUUCAGUUUUUUCUUUUUGUAGAUAGUAUUUAGAUCACCUUUAUCAAUCUUAAAAUAAGAAACCUAAUAAAAAUAACUCCAAAUUGCAAGGCAUCUCUUUAAUACAUAGAUACUUUGUAUCUUCAUUUUAGUUGAAAAGUUAAAAUUAUCUGUAGAGAAAGCAUAAGACUAGAUGAUACCUUUUAAUCUAUUGUGAGAGAUAUGUAACAUGUCAGCAGAUGACAAAAGUAGGAACUGUUUUAUAAACCUCCAAUCAUCAAAUAAGUGACAUGUUUGAGUCAAUCAAUUUAAGAGGUUCCCAGUCCACUGAUGAAACCAUUUGAAGAAAAUGUGCUGUUUGAUGUUACAGAAGCCAAAAGCUGUAUAAAUGUGUCAUCUGUUUUUCAUUUUAAUUCACUGUUUCAGAAGUAUUUACUGUGUAUUAAAAAAUCUUUUUACCCUUUCAAAUCUUUUGGACAACCUGGAAAAAUUGAGAACAGUUUAAGAUCUAUCCAUAAAAGCACAUUCUCAGCUGAGUUAUCUUGUUCCUAUGUGGUGAUAUUAAUCAUAUUACAUAUGAACUUUUAAAAUCAAGUAAGAAGGCUGUCAUUUGACUAAGUAGCUGCUGAUUUUUAAACAGAAUCUGUAAAUAUAUAUCUAUAUGCUGAAAGCUUUUAGUUCAAUCAAAAAUUAAAGGUUUUUUUAAUACAGUAUAAAUCUGAAAGGUAUUUCUAGGUUCAGACAAAAAUAUCUGGAAGGAUGUUGCCUUUAAAAAUAAAGCCUUUUUUGUAGGAC
rnacentral:lncRNA from 1 species